rnacentral:piRNA from 1 species
UCCUAAUUCAUGUUUGUUAUGUAGUAAUGG